UACGAAGGGGGGCUAGCGUUGCUCGGAAUCACUGGGCGUAAAGGGUGCGUAGGCGGGUCUUUAAGUCAGGGGUGAAAUCCUGGAGCUCAACUCCAGAACUGCCUUUGAUACUGAAGAUCUUGAGUUUGGGAGAGGUGAGUGGAACUGCGAGUGUAGAGGUGAAAUUCGUAGAUAUUCGCAAGAACACCAGUGGCGAAGGCGGCUCACUGGCCCGAUACUGACGCUGAGGCACGAAAGCGUGGGGAGCAAACAGG
rnacentral:rRNA from 1 species